ACAGAGGGUGCAAACGUUGUUCGGAAUUACUGGGCGUAAAGCGAGUGUAGGCGGUCUUGAAAGUCGGAUGUGAAAGCCCUGGGCUCAACCCAGGAAGUGCAUUCGAUACUCCGAGGCUAGAGUACUGGAGAGGUGGGUGGAAUUCUCGGUGUAGAGGUGAAAUGCGCAGAUAUCAGGAGGAACACCUGUGGCGAAAGCGAGUUACUGGUUCAUUACUGACACUGAGGAACGAAAGCUAGGGUAGCAAAAGGGA
rnacentral:rRNA from 1 species